AUGAACGCUAGCUACAGGCUUAACACAUGCAAGUCGAGGGGCAGCAUGAACUUAGCUUGCUAAGUUUGAUGGCGACCGGCGCACGGGUGAGUAACACGUAUCCAACCUGCCGAUGACUCGGGGAUAGCCUUUCGAAAGAAAGAUUAAUACCCGAUGGCAUAGUUCUUCCGCAUGGUAGAACUAUUAAAGAAUUUCGGUCAUCGAUGGGGAUGCGUUCCAUUAGGUUGUUGGCGGGGUAACGGCCCACCAAGCCUUCGAUGGAUAGGGGUUCUGAGAGGAAGGUCCCCCACAUUGGAACUGAGACACGGUCCAAACUCCUACGGGAGGCAGCAGUGAGGAAUAUUGGUCAAUGGGCGAGAGUCUGAACCAGCCAAGUAGCGUGAAGGAUGACUGCCCUAUGGGUUGUAAACUUCUUUUAUACGGGAAUAAAGUGAGGCACGUGUGCCUUUUUGUAUGUACCGUAUGAAUAAGGAUCGGCUAACUCCGUGCCAGCAGCCGCGGUAAUACGGAGGAUCCGAGCGUUAUCCGGAUUUAUUGGGUUUAAAGGGAGCGUAGGCGGACGCUUAAGUCAGUUGUGAAAGUUUGCGGCUCAACCGUAAAAUUGCAGUUGAUACUGGGUGUCUUGAGUACAGUAGAGGCAGGCGGAAUUCGUGGUGUAGCGGUGAAAUGCUUAGAUAUCACGAAGAACUCCGAUUGCGAAGGCAGCCUGCUGGACUGUAACUGACGCUGAUGCUCGAAAGUGUGGGUAUCAAACAGGAUUAGAUACCCUGGUAGUCCACACAGUAAACGAUGAAUACUCGCUGUUUGCGAUAUACAGUAAGCGGCCAAGCGAAAGCGUUAAGUAUUCCACCUGGGGAGUACGCCGGCAACGGUGAAACUCAAAGGAAUUGACGGGGGCCCGCACAAGCAGUGGAUUAUGUGGUUUAAUUCGAAGCAACGCGAAGAACCUUACCAGGUCUUGACAUCGAGUGACGGCUCUAGAGAUAGAGCUUUCCUUCGGGACACAAAGACAGGUGGUGCAUGGUUGUCGUCAGCUCGUGCCGUGAGGUGUCGGCUUAAGUGCCAUAACGAGCGCAACCCUUAUCGAUAGUUACCAUCAGGUGAUGCUGGGGACUCUGUCGAGACUGCCGUCGUAAGAUGUGAGGAAGGUGGGGAUGACGUCAAAUCAUCAUGCCCUUUAUGUCUUGGGCUACACACGUACUACAAUGGCGUUAAACAAAGAGAAGCAAGACCGCGAGGUGGAGCAAAACUCAAAAACAACGUCUCAGUUCAGAUUGCAGGCUGCAACUCGCCUGCACGAAGUCGGAAUUGCUAGUAAUCGUGGAUCAGCAUGCCACGGUGAAUACGUUCCCGGGCCUUGUACACACCGCCCGUCACACCAUGGGAGCCGGGGGGACCCGAAGUCGGUAGUCUAACCGCAAGGAGGACGUCGCCGAAGGUAAAACUGGUGAUUGGGGUG
rnacentral:rRNA from 1 species